UCUCCGUUGGUGAACCAGCGGAGGGAUCAUUACAGAGCUGCAAGACUCCCAAACCAUUGUGAACGUUACCUAUCCCGUUGCUUCGGCGGGCGGCCCGGGCCCCGCGCCCGGCGCCCCCCGGCCCCCCGUGGGCGCCCGCCGGAGGUAAACCAAACCCUUGAAUUGCAUGGCCUCUCUGAGUCUUCUGUACUGAAUAAGUCAAAACUUUCAACAACGGAUCUCUUGGUUCUG
rnacentral:misc_RNA from 1 species